CUGGUGACUAGUGGCACAUAGAAACCCACUCAGCUGUGAAGCUAGAUAAGUAGUGAAGGAAGUUAUGAAGCUGCACCGUGAGAACCGGCUUUCUCAAGUAGAACUUAAUUGGUAGUAAGAUUAUGCAGCUUCAUCCACCUCCACAUUCAUCCACCUUCCUCAACCUCCUCCACAACCUCCCCAAAGUGGCUUUGGAGGCCAAAGAUGCAAUGGAAUGAGUGAGAAACAGAAAAGCUCUGGUUUCAUGCUGAUGGGGAUAACAGCCCAAAAAGAAGAAAAAGAAAGAAAAUAAGAAAAGAAAAGAAUGAAAAUAAGAUUAUAAGUAUAAAAUCCAAAAUAACAG
ensembl:lncRNA